UGCCAAAAGGAGUGCAACAAAUCUACAGGUUUUCUAAAACUCCCAACGGCAAAAAAGAGGAAGGCCUUCUUCAGUUUUUGGAGACAGAAAAGCAAAGGUUUUUUGUUCCACCUAUCUACACCUCAUCCUCUGCACUCAAACCAGCAGCAUCCGCAGGUCAUCAGAGGCAAAGCAAAGGCAGGGACUACCCCACGAGGGAGGCUUUCUUCGGGUCAUCAGAGACAAAGGAAAGGCAGGGACUACCCCCGGUUUGUACUUCAUUUUAGCAAGCAGGAUCUGCAGGUAUAAGCCAACUUCUUCUUCUUUGUUAUAUUCAAACCUGGUAUCUUUUGUUCGUUCGGUUCCAACCCUUUUUUUUUCUCUUUUCCUUGGCCCUGGAUUUCGGUUUCUGCCUGGACGCAGAAAUUAUUGUGCUUGUUUGCUUUUACUUCCAUGGCUUUGAGUUAGAGAUGUUGUUUAUGUUAGAGUUGAAUAUUCUCGGUUUUUGCCAUGGGGGACCGUGAGCCUCAAGGGUUUUCAUCAUCCUUCCCCUCCUCUGCUCAGUGCCUCCUUGACUGGGAUUUGUAUAGGAACGUCUCCCUCAUAGUUGUAGUUUUCAUCCAAAAAGAAAAACGCUAGAAGGGUUCCUUUGCAUUCGAGGGGUUUUCUUUUGGCAGGUGUUUGGUUCACGUUUCCAUUUCUGUUUCUGUGAAAAGGGAGGUAGCUGACAGUUGGCCUAUAGUUAUGGUCUUUAACAUACGUAAUACAAAGGCAUGGUGUUCAAGGCUAUGUUUGUUUCUGCAGAUCAUUUUUUGAGAAUUCAUUUUCUAAAUUUUUUUAUGUUUGUUUGUUAUUAGAAAAGUUAGUCAAUAGAAAAUACUUUUCAGUCAAAAGAAAAUUUAGCUUGGUUUCCAGAAAAGUGUUUUCCUGAAAAAUUUGGGCGGAAAACACUUUCCGGAAGUUGUGAAAAUUUUAAAAAUGUCAUAUUAUUUGCUGAUUAUAUCAAAUUUGAUCCUCAAACUUUUGAUUGCUAUAUAUAUUUUGUUUUAAAUAUUUUUUUUCAAUUUCAUCUCUUAAAAUUUAAUUUUUAUAUUAAUUUUGGUUCUUAUUUUUAUAAUUGUUAUUUGCUUUUCCCUUAUCAUUUUUUUAUUGAAAUUUUUUAUGUAUCAAAUUUAGUCCUCAAUUUUUUUUUUAUUACUUAUUUUAUUUGAAAUAAUUUAUGAAAUGUUAAUUAUUAUUAUUUUAAUUUUUUCAUCUUUCAUUUUUUUUAUUUUUUAAAUUUGAUCUCUAUUAUUUUGAUUAUUAUUUAUUUUAUUUGAGAUAAUUUAUGAAAUUAUAUUUUUUUUCAAUUUCAUUCUCAUUCAACUUUUUAAUUUGUAAGAUUUGUUCCUUAUUAUUUUAAUAAACUUUAGAAAAAUAAAACAUUAAUAAGUUAUUUUUCAGCUCAUUUUUCGUGACAUAACCAAACACUAGAAAGUGUUUUCCAACUUAUUUUUCAUUGCACUACCAAACAUCAUAAAAUAAUUCACUUUCCCGGAAUUUACUUUUAAAAAAAUAAUUACUUUCCAGCAAAUAAACGAGUCCAAGUUCAUUCCUUUAGCGGAAACAAACACGGUAGUGCCUGAGAUUAAGAAAAGGGGAGAGGCGUGGGUCACGGUUUCUGCUGUAGGAUUGGGUUCAAAACUGUGAUUUUCGUGUGUACAUUACUUACUCCUUUCUGUUGAAAAUGAUGGGUCAUGGUAUAUUUAGGCUUUGAGUUGAUAGACCGAUUCUGUUUUGAUGAGAUUUGGCUUUGGAUGACUUUCUUUUCGGUUUCCUCCUGCUUUGUUUUUAGCUGCACUGUUUAGAUCUUAUGAUUUUUGAAAUAUAUGUGAUGACUUGUCAUCUUUAAUCGUGUAUAUUGUGAUGCUUGAGUAUUUGAUUAAAUAGAAAUGUUUUUUAUGUUGCAUAUGGCCAAUACUCUAAUAUAUUAAUUUUUUUUUUAAAUAACAAAUAUUCGAGGUUUCAAAAAAAUAUGUUUUAGCAUGGAUUUCUUAAACACAAAAAUUAUUUUCUUGCAUCUUGGAUUUUAUAACGUGUUUGUAAAUUCCAAAGGGUGUUGGCUAAUAUUUUAAAAAUAUAAAAAUCUUAUUUUUGAGAAUUCAUCUUUAUUCACUAUUAAUGUUUGGAUAAAGAAAUCCAAAAGGGGUAAAUAUCCAAAAUAUUAUUAGGAAUAAUUUGUUAUUAUUCAUUAUUAAUGUUUGGAUAAAGAAAUCCCAAAGGGGUUGGGGUUAAUAUCCAAAAUAUUAUUAGGAAUAAUUUGUUAUUAUUCACUACAAAUAUUUGGAUUAAAAAACCCCAAAGGGGUUAAUAUUUAAAAUAUUAUUGGGAAUAAUUCGUCAUUAUUCAUUGUUAAUAUUUGGAUAAAGAAACCCCAAGUGGUUAAUAUCAAAAAAAUAUUUUUCUAGGAAUAACAAGUCAUUAUCCUUUAAUAAUAUAAGGGCCAAAAAACCUAUGAAAGGUAAAUGUCCAAAAUAUUGUUAAUAGGAAUACAACUUGUUUAUUUUUAACAUAAGGGCAGGUUUAAGCCUAAAAUUUUAUUUAGAACAAUUUAAUUGCACAUCCUUAAAUGGAGCCUCAAUUAUAAUUGGGGACAUUUCAAAUUUUGAUUCCACAGUUUAUGAGUCAUAAAAAUAUGAAAUACUAAGACAAAAAUGAGCUUUUAAAGCACCUAGAAUUUCCUUAGAUUUCUAACUUAGUUUUUUUGUUUCUCUUCCCUGCGAUUUACGAGUCGCGAACACUUGAAAUACUAAGGGAAAAAUGAGCUUUUAAGCACAUUGAAUCUCCUUAGAUUUCUAUCUUAGCUAUCUCUAAAUUCAUAAAUUCUAAAUUUAUUUCAAAUCAAACAUAGAUUUCAAGAGAUCUGCACCGUUUCUCUUUGACACUCUAUAGACAUAUCUAAAGGUAUGAUCCAUAUUGGCCAAGGGUUCUUUCCCUUAGACUUUGAACCCAAGUUCGUUCAUCAUAGCAGACUUAUCCUAGAAAACUGAUGGGAUUAGAGAACAUCAACACCAUAGCAAUUAUAAGGCAAACCAAACACUAAGCAACUUAUCUUAGGUAGGGCAUACUAGGGGUGCUAAAACCUUCCCUUUAUGCAACCAGUCCCUUGCUUUAGAAUCUCUGAAAGACCAGUUAGGUUUCCUAGUGACCAUAAUACUAGGUGGCGACUCCCUUUUUCACAAAACAAAGACCCCAAAAUCAAUUCCCCGCUCCGGGAAGGGUCGUCGCGACGUCGCGCUCUCGUGAGGGUACGACAAUAGAGAAUAACCGGAUGGUGGAUAAUUCGUAUGGAAUUACCGGUUAGAUUGGCUAUUGAUAGAGAAUAGCUAGAUGGUGGGUAAUUUGUUUGGAAUUACUGGUUAGAUUGGCUAUUGAUAGAGAAUAGCUGAAUGCUAGGUAAUUCGUUUGGAAUUAUCGGUUAGAUUGGCUAUUAUUAGAGAAUAGCCGGAUGAUGGGUAAUUCGUAUGGAAUUACCGGUUAGAUUGGCUAUUAUUAGAGAAUAGCCGAAUGUUAGGUAAUAUGUAUGGAAUUACCGGUUUGAUUGUUGGCUAUCGAAGAGGGUUAGCCGGGUUUGAGGUAAAAUUGUGAAUUACCAAAUUAAAAAUUAAGCAAUGAGUGUUGGUUGCAGAGGUCCUAUAAGUAUAGGAUUAAUAAAUUAUGAAUGGGUUAUUAAUAUUCAUAUGUAGUAAGUUAGUGAUGAAAGAUAAUUUGAUAUAUUUUGAAGAAUUGUGAACAUAAUAGCUUUAUCAUUUUUAAUGUGUUAUCUUCCUUAUUUCUUAUUAAUGUUAUGUAUACAGGUUUUUCAUGAGAUGAUGCGGAGCGUUAAAUA
rnacentral:lncRNA from 1 species